AAGAAACAUAAUGAAAUUGAAACGAAACAGAGAAGAAACAGAUGAGAAAGAAAGAAAGAAAAAGAAAAAGGAAAAUUUCGGGUUUCAAGGUUCAAAGGUAAUUUGUCAAUGUGGUACCGGAAAUCUCGGCUAAGAAAGGACAAGACAAAGUCAACGGGAGUUAGCUCGAAAAUUACGGUUAAGUUAAGGCUAGACUGUUGAAUCAGCAUCCCAAGCCGAUCCCGAAUUCAAUGAGGUAAAGUAUGUUGAGUAUUGAUAAUGGCAUGUACCUAGGAUGUUUAAUGAGAGUCAUUUAGGUUGUAAAAGUAUUGAUGAAAUAAGUAAAUUAUGGUUGGCAAUGGUAUAUAGUAUGAAUUUUGAAAUUUAUUAAAAA